CCUACGGGAGGCAGCAGUGGGGGAUAUUGCACAAUGGGGGAAACCCUGAUGCAGCAACGCCGCGUGAGUGAAGAAGUCUUUCGGUAUGUAAAGCUCUAUCAGCAGGGAAGAGAAUGACGGUACCUGACUAAGAAGCCCCGGCUAACUACGUGCCAGCAGCCGCGGUCAUACGUAGGGGGCGAGCGUUAUCCGGAUUUACUGGGUGUAAAGGGAGCGUAGACGGCUGGGCAAGUCUGAAGUGAAAGCCCCGGGCUUAACCCCGGAACGGCUUUGGAAACUGAUGAGCUAGAGUGCUGGAGAGGUAAGCGGAAUGCCUAGUGUAGCGGUGAAAUGCGUAGAUAUUAGGAGGAACACCAGUGGCGAAGGCGGCAUACUGGACAGUAACUGACGUUGAGGCUCGAAAGCGUGGGGAGCAAACAGGAUUAGAUACCCGUGUAGUC
rnacentral:rRNA from 1 species